UCUUUUAUUCCUUCUUCUCUUUAAUUCUUCCUUUUUGUCCUUCCUUUAUUUUCUUUUCUUUUCUUUUCCAUUUCUUUCUUUUCUUUUUCUUCUUCUUUCUUUUCAUGUUUUCUUUUUUAACUUUCAUUCAUUUAUUUCUUCCUUUUUUUUCUUCUUCUCGCGAUGUAUGGUUGGAUUUCAGAGCUCCAACCCGUUCUGAUCC
rnacentral:lncRNA from 1 species